rnacentral:rRNA from 1 species
GACGAACGCUGGCGGCGUGCUUAACACAUGCAAGUCGAACGGAAAGGCCCUGCUUUUGUGGGGUGCUCGAGUGGCGAACGGGUGAGUAACACGUGAGUAACCUGCCCUUGACUUUGGGAUAACUUCAGGAAACUGGGGCUAAUACCGGAUAGGAGCUCCUGCUGCAUGGUGGGGGUUGGAAAGUUUCGGCGGUUGGGGAUGGACUCGCGGCUUAUCAGCUUGGUGGUGGGGUAGUGGCUUACCAAGGCCUGGACGGGUAGCCGGCCUGAGAGGGUGACCGGCCACAUUGGGACUGAGAUGAGGCCCAGACUCCUACGGGAGGCAGCGGUGGGGAAUAUUGCACUAUGGGAGGAGGCAUGAUGUAGCAACGCCGCGUGCGGGAUAACGGCCUUCGGGUUGUAAACCGCUUUCGCCUGUGACGAAGCGUGAGUGACGGUAAUGGGUGAAGAAGCACCGGCUAACUACGUG